rnacentral:tRNA from 1 species
AAGAAACUAGUUAAACAAUCAUAACAAAAGAACGUCAUUCUUUAAUUACUAUAAGUGUUUCUUA